CCAACUGGGCAGAGGGAUCCUCCUCACAUCAUCACUGCUGAAGGCGUCCAGUGUCAGAUGCCAGAGUUCAAGAGGGUAUCAACUACAACUCUUUGUUCAGUACAUCAUUAAUCUCUUGAGGAACUCUGUCGUCAGAGCGCAGCCCUGCACACCAGCAGUCAACAACAGGGGAGUGAAGCUGAUGGUGAGUGCUCACAUGAGUCAGCUGGAAGCAUGGGAUGAACAAAAUUCAGCAGUGAUCUGACAAAGCUGAGAUGAAACAGGAUUCAGCUCGAGGCCAGGUGAUGUGACACAAGCUAAUUAGAGCCUCCCUCAGGAGUAUGAGAUGAGACCUCUGGACUAAGAGAUGGACUACUUUUGUUUCAGUGACCAGUGGUGGUAUGGAGAGUUUCGCUGACCUUAAGGUCCUUUGAAUCUGACCCAGCAUAGGCUAUCAAGGUUUAUAUUCUCAAAAGUCCCUCAAAACUCUUUUAGGAGCUGAAGUAAUGCAGGAAAUCAGAAUGAAGCCCAGGGAAUAACCUCGCAGAAAAGGAGCUAUUAACCAUCGUGACAGACCUAGUACCUUGGAAGGCUAAGGCUAAGACAGUGCAUGUUUUCAGCAUGGUGUACUAAUAACAACUAGCACAUGAGCUUCUCCAUUUCCAAUAUACUCCUCCAAACGUU